UUGGCAACAGAAAGGAAUACACAACAGAUACACACACACUUUUCCCAAAUCACACCAUCUGUGAGCUCAUUCUGUGUUUUUAGGGUUUCAUCAACAGAGGCAUAAGCAAUAAUCUACUAGUAAAAUAUCUACCAUCGGAAAUGAGUGCAUCAUCAUUGAACUCUCCUGAGGUUCUCCAACUUAUUGAGCAAGAAAAACAAAGGGCUAUGGUGAAUGAGAUGGUCGCAAAGCUUACAAACACCUGUUGGGACAAGUGCGUCACUAGUACCCCCGGUAGCAAGUUCAGCUCGAGUGAAUCUAGCUGCAUUGCUAGCUGUGCUCAGCGUUACUUGGACACGAGUAUGCUCAUUAUGAAGCGCUUCCAGAAUAUGCAGCAAUGACUAAUAUUUUUGUAAUGUUCAGCGUUUAGUAUGAACAAUCACCUCAGUAAAGCGCUUCUGCCAUAUUACGUAAUUAGUUGCGCAAACACAAAAAAACCAUGGGAGUAUUUUUCUCUUGGAUGUUAUUGGUUACUUUCAAAUUGAAACUUUACUGAAGAUGCAUAUAUUGGAUAUGUUACUCCUAUCUUCUUUUUC